GGGAGUCCCUCCCUCUAAAAGCACUCUGUGUGGGGAACAUGAGAGCCAGACCAAAGCUCAGAGGAACCAACCUGGACCUCCACCCAGCUCUGUGUCCUUAAGGAGUGAUGAGUCUAAAGAUUGGCCCAUUAAAUUUAAAUCCCAGCCUGCAGUAAGAGUGGACCAGCAGAGCUCAGAGGUUCCCAGUGGUCAGUCUGCCCAGCAGCAUCAAACACAG